CAUCAGAAGAAGAUCUGGAUGUGUUUGACCUGAAGAAAUACUCUGCUUCAGAGGAGGCUCUUCUGAGGCUGCUGCCUGUGGUCCAAGCCUCCAAGAAGGCUCUAUUGUCUGGCUGUAAUCUCUCAAAGAGAAGCUGUGAUGCUCUGUGCCCUUUUCUCAUCUCCCAUACCUCUACUGUGAUGGAACUGGACCUAAGUAACAAUGACCUGCACGAUGCAGGAGUUAAACUUCUGUCUGCUGGAUUAAGGAGUCCAGAUUGUCCACUCAAAAAACUGAGUCUGUCAGGCUGUCUGAUCACAC